AGUGAAUAAUGUGAAACAGAGACGAGGUUCUAUAAAAUAACUGCUUCCCUAGAGUCUCGUCUGAAUAGCAAACCAAAAUCAUCUACUUUUAGGAGACUUGUGGGUGAGUGAGAUUGGUCAUAUGGGUGGUGGUUGGUGAGGAUGUUACUGUUCUAAAUGACUUUUAAAUAGAUUAACAUCUGAAUGUCUAUUCACUCUUUACAGUAUGGCUGUUCCGCUUCUUUGUAUAACAGCUGGCUCUUUCACGCAAUACACAAUAUUAUGUAAUGUAUACACACACACAGAGAUCCAUUCAGUCGUACACACAUUCAUACAGGCUAGUGUCUCUUGGAGGAAUACUAGUCAAGACACCUCCAUAACACACAAAGCAAGACUACCUCGGAUGGAAACCCAGUCUCCACAGCUUUCAAAGAGGGGGGAAAGAGGCAGUCUCACCAAGGGAGGGGAGAGUAAGAGACAGACAGUGAGAGAGACAGAGAGAGCGAGAGAGAAAGAGAGCGAGAAAGAGCUCAUGAAGCAACAGAGUCUUUCCAGAGGAGGAGUGAAGGAAGAAGAAAAUGACCCACAGCAGAAGGAGGAGAUGAUGAACUAGCCUAUAUUAAUACAACAGGCAGAGAGCACAAAAACACAGCAGGAGUCCUGUGUAAGUGGAGAUAAACAGCGUUGCUAUUGCACAACCGCUGCCUUUUCCACUGGCACCAAGAGAUGACAACAGCUACUACUAACUGGGAGAGAAGCAAGAAUAAAAGGAGAGAGUAAGAGUGGAGCGAGAGACGGUGGAAAGCAAACCAAUGACAGCUGGAGAAAAAGCUCAAAUGGAGCCCGACCCAGAACAGACUGUACAGAGGACAGCAGUGCAGCGGGUGGGGUUUUGGUCAUCUCUUGGCUUCGAUGCUAAUCGCUACUUGAGGACUUAUCUCUACUAACCCUAAUCCUGAAAAGACCGCUGGGUCGAGGAGGCGAAGUCAUCACCUCUGUGUCACUGCUGGCUCCAACUCACAGGGAACUCGCUCUCCACACUCACUCAGCAAAGUGGUCACAUCACACAACCUGCACCCAGAUACUACAGAGUUGCACCCCCCCCCCCAGUGUGAGGGACAUGAUGGAUGCCAGGGAGGAGAUGCUGACCCUGCUACAGAAGCUCUGGGCCAAACUGCAGGGUCUCCCCACCGCCAGCCCUCUGGAGAUGGGGGCCUUCGCUGUCCUCGUCCUCUUUAUCGUGGUCUUCCUGCUCAUGCUGCUGAUGACCUGUUUGACGUGCUGCUGCUGUCACAGAACCAGAACCAAGGGCCCACAUAGUCAGCUAACCUGAGACAAUCCCCACUUCCCCCAAUAAUGAGGAGAGACAUUAUAAACAGGCACUCUAUGGAGUGCCACUGUAUCACCAGGAGAGACAUUCUGGAGAGACAUUCUGGAGAGGCACUCUAUGGGCCUCUUAACCCCGGAGGAAUGAUGAGGACCCGUGGGGAGGGUGUGGAGCCCAUCUAUAAAGGAGCCCGGCCCUUGAACAACACACCUCCAUACAAAACACACACAGAGCCUCCCUGAGAAGCAGUCAAACAGGCCCGGCUUUCAGGAGUAUCAACAUUCCAUGGGGCAUCCCUGGGCUCUGCUGGCUAACAAAGCAGUCUUUGACGUGAGAGAUGGACAAGACUAGACCUCUAGGACGGCUUCAACUGAUCCACACAACACAAAGAACACAGGAGCAUGGAAACACACACACACACACACACACACACACACACACACACACACACACACAAAAGAUCCCAAUAGAAGCACAGGAGAUUGCUUGGGGAGAUGAAUGUCUGUCAGUUCUAGGAUGUAUGGGUGUCAACUCAACCUCUGCCACUGGCUCAUAGACUCUAAGAAAGAGCCCUCUGCAGUUUCCAUCAACAACUCACUUAAAUGGAGGCAUCUUGCCAAACCCCUUGUAAGAGUGUUGCCAUAUGUCUUCUAUCUAAAGGACUUCCUUUGCUUUAUUUCCUUGUUCAAGUGCAAGAUGGAACAAGGAAACACAGAAAUGUCCGACUUGCUAACUGGUUGACCGCGGCACGUGUAUAACUACAACAGUUAGCAAGUCGAAAAAGUCUGUUUCCUAGUUCCGACUAGCACGUGAACACAGCAUUAGUUCAGCAAAAACAAGCCAUUAUCUCAUUCCUCAGGCGAUUCAGAGGACCAUGCCUGCCCUCUGCUGCCUUGUAAUAUGCUUCACAGUUACACACAAAAACAGAAAAAGAGUAAUGCUGUCAUUUCCAUAUAGUUGUUGCAUAGGUUAAAAAGGGCAUCUCUUCCUUCUGAAAAAGCAUUUUCUUAGCCUGCCUAAAAUAGUGCAUUACGCGUUUGUAUCUCUCUUACAUGAAAUAAAACAAAAUGCAGAUGA